rnacentral:rRNA from 1 species
AGCCGCCGCGGUAACACCGGCAGCUCUAGUGGUAACAAUUUUAUUGGGCCUAAAGCGUCCGUAGCCGGUUUAAUAAGUCUCUGGUGAAAUCCUGUAGCUUAACUGUGGGAAUUGCUGGAGAUACUAUUAGACUUGAGACCGGGAGAGGUUAGAGGUACUCCCAGGGUAGAGGUGAAAUUCUGUAAUCCUGGGAGGACCGCCUGUUGCGAAGGCGUCUAACUGGAACGGUUCUGACGGUGAGGGACGAAAGUUAGGGGCGCGAACCGGAUUAGAUACCCGGGUAGUCCUAACUGUAAACGAUGCGGACUUGGUGUUGGGGUGGCUUUGAGCUGCUCCAGUGCCGAAGGGAAGCUGUUAAGUCCGCCGCCUGGGAAGUACGGUCGCAAGACUGAAACUUAAGGAAUUGGCGGGGGAGCACCACAACGCGUGGAGCCUGCCGGUUUAAUUGGAUUCAACGCCGGACAUCUCACCAGAGGCGACAGCUGUAUGAUAGCCAGGUUGAUGACUUUGCUUGACUAGCUGAGUAGUGGUGCAUGG